UGGGGAAUAUUGCACAAUGGGCGAAAGCCUGAUGCAGCAACGCCGCGUGAGUGAUGAAGGUCUUCGGAUUGUAAAGCUCUGUCUUUUGGGACGAUAAUGACGGUACCAAAGGAGGAAGCCACGGUUAACUACGUGCCAGCAGCCGCGGUAAUACGUAGGUGGCGAGCGUUGUCCGGAUUUACUGGGCGUAAAGGGUGCGUAGGCGGAUGUUUAAGUGAGAUGUGAAAUACCCGGGCUUAACUUGGGUGCUGCAUUUCAAACUGGAUAUCUAGAGUGCAGGAGAGGAGAAUGGAAUUCCUAGUGUAGCGGUGAAAUGCGUAGAGAUUAGGAGGAACACCAGUGGCGAAGGCGAUUCUCUGGACUGUAACUGACGCUGAGGCACGAAAGCGUGGGUAGCAAACAGGAUUAGAUACCCUGGUAGUCCACGCCGUAAACGAUGAGUACUAGGUGUAGGAGGUAUCGACCCCUUCUGUGCCGCAGUAAACACAUUAAGUACUCCGCCUGGGAAGUACGAUCGCAAGAUUAAAAC
rnacentral:rRNA from 1 species